rnacentral:rRNA from 1 species
AGUUGUAAUUUGUAGAGGAUGUUUUUGGUGCGGUAUCUUCCGAGUUCCUUGGAACAGGACGCCUUAGAGGGUGAGAGCCCCGUACGGUUGAAUGCCUAGCCUUUGUAAAACUCCUUCGACGAGUCGAGUAGUUUGGGAAUGCUGCUCUAAAUGGGAGGUAAAUUUCUUCUAAAGCUAAAUACUGGCCAGAGACCGAUAGCGCACAAGUAGAGUGAUCGAAAGAUGAAAAGCACUUUGAAAAGAGGGUUAAAUAGCACGUGAAAUUGUUGAAAGGGAAGGAUUUAUGACCAGACUUUUUCUGGGCGGAUCAUCCGGUGUUCUCACCGGUGCACUUCGCUCAGUUUAGGCCAGCAUCGAUUUUCGGUGGGGGAUAAAAGCUUUAGGAAUGUGGCUCCUCCGGGAGUGUUAUAGCCUAUUGUAUAAUACCCUACUGGGGAUCGAGGUACGCGCUUCUGCNAGGAUGCUGGCGUAAUG